UUAGGUUAAGUUAGAAAGGGCGCACGGUGGAUGCCUUGGCACUAGGAGCCGAUGAAGGACGGUACUAACACCGAUAUGCUUCGGGGAGCUGUAAGUAAGCUUUGAUCCGGAGAUUUCCGAAUGGGGAAACCCUCCAUCCGUAAUGGGAUGGAACCCUUGCCUGAAUACAUAGGGCAUUGGAGGCAGACCCGGGGAACUGAAACAUCUAAGUACCYGGAGGAAGAGAAAGCAAACGCGAUUCCCUGAGUAGCGGCGAGCGAAACGGGAUUAGCCCAAACCAG
rnacentral:rRNA from 1 species